ACAAUGUUUUGCUGCUGUUAUCCAGAAUUAACCUUUGAUUUUGAGGAGUGACUUUAAAGUUUGGCAGAAAAGAAGCAGAGUCAAGGACCAGGAAUUGCUUCAGUAAAGUUGCAAGAUACCAAAUCAACCUACAAAAAUGAAUAGCAUUUCUAUAUCAUAGAAAUGAAACAGCUGAAACAAGAGAGCAAUCCCAUUUACAAUAGCUACAAAAAAAAGGGAUCAAUUUCACCAAGGAGAUAAAAAAUCUCUAUAAGGUAAAAACCAUAAAACACUGAUGAAAGAAGUUGAAAAGGACACAAAUGGAAUGUCAUCCCAUGCUCAUGAAGUGGAAGAAUUAAUAUGAUUAAAAUAAACAUACUUCCCAAAGCAA
rnacentral:lncRNA from 1 species